rnacentral:rRNA from 1 species
AUUGAACGCUGGCGGCAUGCCUUACACAUGCAAGUCGAACGGCAGCGGGCCCUUCGGGGUGCCGGCGAGUGGCGAACGGGUGAGUAAUGCAUCGGAACGUACCCGGGAGAGGGGGAUAACCGGCCGAAAGGCUGGCUAAUACCGCAUGAACUCGGAAGAGCAAAGCGGGGGACCUUCGGGCCUCGCGCUCUCGGAGCGGCCGAUGUCCGAUUAGGCUAGUUGGUGGGGUAAAGGCCCACCAAGGCGACGAUCGGUAGCGGGUCUGAGAGGACGAUCCGCCACACUGGGACUGAGACACGGCCCAGACUCCUACGGGAGGCAGCAGUGGGGAAUCUUGGACAAUGGGUGCAAGCCUGAUCCAGCAAUGCCGCGUGGGUGAAGAAGGCCUUCGGGUUGUAAAGCCCUUUCGGCGGGGAAGAAAUCGGUCAGGCGAAUAGUCUGGCCGGAUGACGGUACCCGCAGAAGAAGCACCGGCUAACUACGUG